GAGGGUACAGCUCAGUGGUAGAGCAUAUGCCUAGCACUCAUGAGGUCCUGGGUGCAAUCCCCAGUAUCACCA
rnacentral:tRNA from 1 species